rnacentral:rRNA from 1 species
UGGCGACGUUGCGAGAAUUCCACUGAACCUUAUCAUUUAGAGGAAGGAGAAGUCGUAACAAGGUUUCCGUAGGUGAACCUGCGGAAGGAUCAUUG